ACGUCACCGGGGCUCCAGGCCGGGAAGGAACCACACCUUCAGCUUGCCCUUCUCGGGAGCACAUUCUCUCUCACCGGUGGAGCGAAAUCUCCCUUUACCUGGAAUCAGGGUGGAAACGGCCUCCGUGUUUGUGCCCUACACAUCACCUAGCACAGAGCCUGGCUCGCGGAAGGCUCUGGAUGAAUGCUGGCGGAUAAACGAACGAAUGAAACGCCACCCUUCCCCCCAAAGUCACAGACUAUUCCCGAAAAAAGGAAUCCCUGAGAAGCAAUCUUCCAUGGUAACCCUGCCACCAAAAAACUUCCAGAGGAAAUGGAAGGACUGGCAGAGGAAGGGGAUUGUCCCCGGAGCCAUAACUCAUCUCGCCUACAACUCGGGUCGAGGCAUCGAUGAAUCUUCACCCUCUGGCUCCUGCGCUCCCUGGCUAGCCGCUUCCCAGGCAGCCCUGAGGCAUCCAGCUCGGGCCCACGCCGCUGUUCACACCUUCAAUGGCAUCCAGGGGGGGACGGUCCCUUCUGGGAGCCUCAGAAAUAAAGAAGAAUGAGCCGAG